rnacentral:lncRNA from 1 species
GGCGCCUUCGAACCUGUCGGAGCCGUCGGGGAAUGGCAGCGUCAAAGAGCUGGCCCCUUUAGCCAGUCACCUUGACGUUGCCUGUCCGCAGGAGCAGCAGUGCGAGCCAUCAGACUUCGACACCUUCUAUGACCCCUACACUAAUGAGGCGUCAUACCAAGCGGCCGGCCGAGGCGCCCGAAUCCCAAGGAAGUCCGUGCACGGGUGGCUCGUGCAGCAUGACGAAGAUGGCAACGUUUGCUACCAGUUGGGUCGCGGCCGACCCUUGUUCUGACCCUGGGACCACCGAAGGCUUUUUUUUUUUUUUUGCUAAUUGUGUUGGUCCACAGGGCAGUCAAGCUCACAUGCACCACCGUUUUGCGGCAUCAACAUCGAAAAGGCUCUUUGACUCGACGCGUUUGCUGCCAGCCAUUGCGUUUUGUGCUGAGUUCGUGACGGCAGCUUAAUAAAAGCAAGUUUUUCUGUU